UAUCUGAACCUUCGGGGGACGAUAACGGCGUCGAGCGGCGGACGGGUGAGUAAUGCCUAGGAAAUUGCCCUGAUGUGGGGGAUAACCAUUGGAAACGAUGGCUAAUACCGCAUAAUGCCUACGGGCCAAAGAGGGGGACCUUCGGGCCUCUCGCGUCAGGAUAUGCCUAGGUGGGAUUAGCUAGUUGGUGAGGUAAUGGCUCACCAAGGCGACGAUCCCUAGCUGGUCUGAGAGGAUGAUCAGCCACACUGGAACUGAGACACGGUCCAGACUCCUACGGGAGGCAGCAGUGGGGAAUAUUGCACAAUGGGCGCAAGCCUGAUGCAGCCAUGCCGCGUGUGUGAAGAAGGCCUUCGGGUUGUAAAGCACUUUCAGUCGUGAGGAAGGUAGUGUAGUUAAUAGCUGCAUUAUUUGACGUUAGCGACAGAAGAAGCACCGGCUAACUCCGUGCCAGCAGCCGCGGUAAUACGGAGGGUGCGAGCGUUAAUCGGAAUUACUGGGCGUAAAGCGCAUGCAGGUGGUUUGUUAAGUCAGAUGUGAAAGCCCGGGGCUCAACCUCGGAAUAGCAUUUGAAACUGGCAGACUAGAGUACUGUAGAGGGGGGUAGAAUUUCAGGUGUAGCGGUGAAAUGCGUAGAGAUCUGAAGGAAUACCGGUGGCGAAGGCGGCCCCCUGGACAGAUACUGACACUCAGAUGCGAAAGCGUGGGGAGCAAACAGGAUUAGAUACCCUGGUAGUCCACGCCGUAAACGAUGUCUACUUGGAGGUUGUGGCCUUGAGCCGUGGCUUUCGGAGCUAACGCGUUAAGUAGACCGCCUGGGGGAGUACGGUCGCAAGAUUAAAACUCAAAUGAAUUGACGGGGGCCCGCACAAGCGGUGGAGCAUGUGGUUUAAUUCGAUGCAACGCGAAGAACCUUACCUACUCUUGACAUCCAGAGAACUUUCCAGAGAUGGAUUGGUG
rnacentral:rRNA from 1 species